UGGGGAAUAUUGGACAAUGGGCGAAAGCCUGAUCCAGCCAUGCCGCGUGUGUGAAGAAGGUCUUCGGAUUGUAAAGCACUUUAAGUUGGGAGGAAGGUCAGUAAGCGAAUACCUUGCUGUUUUGACGUUACCGACAGAAUAAGCACCGGCUAACUCUGUGCCAGCAGCCGCGGUAAUAAUGAGGGUGCAAGCGUUAAUCGGAAUUACUGGGCGUAAAGCGGGCGUAGGUGGUUCGUUAAGUUGAAUGUGAAAGCCCCGGGCUCAACCUAGGAACUGCAGCCAAAGCAGUCGGGCUAGAGUAGGGCAGAGGGGGGUGGAAUUUCCUGUGGUGCGGUGGAAUGCGUAGAUAUAGGGAGGAACAACAGUUGCGGAGUAGACCACCUGGGCUAAUACUGACGCUGAGGUACGAAAGAGUGGGGAGCAAACAGG
rnacentral:rRNA from 1 species